rnacentral:ncRNA from 2 species
GACAGAGGUGCCAAGCGUUAGGCGGAAUCACUGGGCUUAAAGCGUGUGUAGGCGGACUGGUAAGUACCUUGUGAAAUCCCACGGCUCAACCGUGGAACUGCUUGGUAUACUGCUUGUCUUGAGCCACUUAGGGGCUACCGGAACAAAUGGUGGAGCGGUGAAAUGCGUAGAUAUCAUUUGGAACGCCAAUGGUGAAAACAGGUAGCUGGGAGUGUGCUGACGCUGAGACACGAAAGCCAGGGGAGCGAACGGG